rnacentral:rRNA from 1 species
GGGCUGCAGUGAGGAAUCUUGCGCAAUGGGGGAAACCCUGACGCAGCAACGCCGCGUGAGUGAGGAAGGUCUUCGGAUCGUAAAGCUCUGUCAGUUGGGAAGAAACGCAUGAGAGCGAAUACCUCUCAUGCUUGACGGUACCAACAGAGGAAGCACCGGCUAACUCCGUGCCAGCAGCCGCGGUAAUACGGAGGGUGCAAGCGUUGUUCGGAAUUAUUGGGCGUAAAGAGCGUGUAGGCGGCCGGAUAUGUCAGAUGUGAAAGCCCAGGGCUUAACCUUGGAAUUGCAUUCGAAACUGCAUGGCUAGAGUUUGGUAGAGGCUAGCGGAAUUCCAGGUGUAGCGGUGAAAUGCGUAGAUAUCUGGAGGAACAUCAGUGGCGAAGGCGGCUGGCUGGACCAAAACUGACGCUGAGGUGCGAAAGCGUGGGGAGCAAACAGGAUUAGAUACCCGUGUAGUC